GACGAACGCUGGCGGCGUGCUUAACACAUGCAAGUCGAACGGAAAGGCCCUGCUUUUGUGGGGUGCUCGAGUGGCGAACGGGUGAGUAACACGUGAGUAACCUGCCCUUGACUUUGGGAUAACUUCAGGAAACUGGGGCUAAUACCGGAUAGGAGCUCCUGCUGCAUGGUGGGGGUUGGAAAGUUUCGGCGGUUGGGGAUGGACUCGCGGCUUAUCAGCUUGUUGGUGGGGUAGGGGCUUACCAAGGCUUUGACGGGUAGCCGGCCUGAGAGGGUGACCGGCCACAUUGGGACUGAGAUACGCACCAGACUCCUACGGGAGGCAGCAGUGGGGAAUAUUGCACAGUGGGCGGAAGCCUGAUGCAGCAACGCCGCGUGCGGGAUGACGGCCUUCGGGUUGUAAACCGCUUUCGCCUGUGACGAAGCGUGAGUGACGGUAAUGGGUAAAGAAGCACCGGCUAACUACGUG
rnacentral:rRNA from 1 species